CUCGGCUCUCGCAUCGAUGAAGAACGUAGCGAAAUGCGAUACUUGGUGUGAAUUGCAGAAUCCCGUGAACCAUCGAGUCUUUGAACGCAAGUUGCGCCCGAAGCCGUCAGGCCGAGGGCACGUCUGCCUGGGCGUCACGCAUCGCGUCGCCCCUCCUUCUCUACCC
rnacentral:rRNA from 2 species